UGAGGAAUAUUGGUCAAUGGGCGGGAGCCUGAACCAGCCAAGCCGCGUGAGGGAGGAAGGCCCUAUGGGUCGUAAACCUCUUUUGUCAGGGAACAAAAGCGAGUAUGUAUACUAGUCUGAGUGUACCUGAAGAAAAAGCAUCGGCUAACUCCGUGCCAGCAGCCGCGGUAAUACGGAGGAUGCGAGCGUUACCCGGAUUUAUUGGGUUUAAAGGGUGCGUAGGCGGCGGUGCAAGUCAGCGGUAAAAGCCCGGGGCUCAACCCCGGCGAGCCGUUGAAACUGCAGUGCUAGAGAAGGCGAGAGGUACGCGGAAUGCGCAGUGUAGCGGUGAAAUGCUUAGAUAUUGCGCAGAACUCCGAUUGCGAAGGCAGCGUACUGGCGCCUGACUGACGCUGAGGCACGAAAGCGUGGGGAUCGAACAGGAUUAGAUACCC
rnacentral:rRNA from 1 species